GCAGCAGUAGGGAUCUUCCGCAAUGGACGAAAGUCUGACGGAGCAACGCCGCGUGAGUGAUGAAGGUUUUCGGAUCGUAAAACUCUGUUAUUAGGGAAGAACAAAUGCGUAAGUAACUGUGCGCAUCUUGACGGUACCUAAUCAGAAAGCCACGGCUAACUACGUGCCAGCAGCCGCGGUAAUACGUAGGUGGCAAGCGUUAUCCGGAAUUAUUGGGCGUAAAGCGCGCGUAGGCGGUUUCUUAAGUCUGAUGUGAAAGCCCACGGCUCAACCGUGGAGGGUCAUUGGAAACUGGGAAACUUGAGUACAGAAGAGGAAAGUGGAAUUCCAUGUGUAGCGGUGAAAUGCGCAGAGAUAUGGAGGAACACCAGUGGCGAAGGCGACUUUCUGGUCUGUAACUGACGCUGAUGUGCGAAAGCGUGGGGAUCAAACAGGAUUAGAUACCCUGGUAGUCCACGCCGUAAACGAUGAGUGCUAAGUGUUAGGGGGUUUCCGCCCCUUAGUGCUGCAGCUAACGCAUUAAGCACUCCGCCUGGGGAGUACGACCGCAAGGUUGAAACUCAAAGGAAUUGACGGGGCCCCC
rnacentral:rRNA from 1 species